rnacentral:rRNA from 1 species
ACGCUAGGCGGCGGGCUUAACACAUGCAAGUCGAGCGGAGAGCUUCGGCUCUCAGCGGCGAACGGGUGAGUAACACGUAGGUCACGUACCCUUUGAGUGGGGAAUAACCUAGGGAAACCUGGGCUAAUACCGCAUAUGUCCUUCGGGAUGAAAGCCUUCGGGCGUCAGAGGAUCGGCCUGCGGCCAUUAUUUAAUCCUAGUUGGUAGGGUAAUGGCCUACCAAGGGUACGAUGGGUAGCUGGUCUGAGAGGAUGAUCAGCCACACUGGAACUGAGACACGGUUCAGACUCCGUACGGGGAGGCAGCAGUGGGGAAUAUUGGACAAUGGGCGAAAGCCUGAUCCAGCCACGCCGCGUGGGUGAUGAAGGCCUUCGGGUUGUAAAGCCCUGUCGGGAGGGACGAAUCAAUGACGGUACCUCCCAAGAAAGCACCGGCUAACUCCGUG